GCAAUAGCGCCACCAAUAAUGGCGGCGGGGGCAAGAAAAUCAAGGAAACCGAGUUACGUUUCACAUUUUGUGUUGAGAAUAAUACUGCUAUAGAGAAUAUAGAUGUUGGAAAUUGAAAAAUUGAGAGGACCAGUGAAUUAUGUUUGAAACAAAAGCAUCGAAAAUAUUGACUUGUUGGUAGGGCAAUUACGGCUGCUGUGGGCUUGUCUCUGUUUGUUCUGUCGAAAAAAUCAGUUGACCAGAAACGUCGUGAGGAGAUGAUAAACAGGAAAAUUGCAAGAGAAAAUUCAC